GACGUAGGGCGCGAGCGUUGUCCGGAUUUAUUGGGCGUAAAGGGCUCGUAGGCGGUUUGUCGCGUCGGGAGUGAAAACACCGGGCUUAACUCGGUGCUUGCUUUCGAUACGGGCAGACUAGAGGUAUGCAGGGGAGAACGGAACUUCCUGGUGUAGCGGUGAAAUGCGCAGAUAUCAGGAGGAACACCAGUGGCGAAGGCGGCGACCUGGGCCAAUAUUGACGCUGAGGUGCGAAAGCGUGGGGAGCAAACAGG
rnacentral:rRNA from 1 species